rnacentral:rRNA from 1 species
AGUGAACGCUGGCGGUAGGCCUAACACAUGCAAGUCGAACGGCAGCACAGUAAGAGCUUGCUCUUACGGGUGGCGAGUGGCGGACGGGUGAUGAAUACAUCGGAAUCUACUUUUUCGUGGGUGAUAACGUAGGGAAACUUACGCUAAUACCGCAUACGACCUACGGGUGAAAGCAGGGGAUCUUCGGACCUUGCGCGAUUGAAUGAGCCGAUGUCGGAUUAGCUAGUUGGCGGGGUAAAGGCCCACCAAGGCGACGAUCCGUAGCUGGUCUGAGAGGAUGAUCAGCCACACUGGAACUGAGACACGGUCCAGACUCCUACGGGAGGCAGCAGUGGGGAAUAUUGGACAAUGGGCGCAAGCCUGAUCCAGCCAUACCGCGUGGGUGAAGAAGGCCUUCGGGUUGUAAAGCCCUUUUGUUGGGAAAGAAAAGCAGCAGGUUAAUACCCCGCUGUUCUGACGGUACCCAAAGAAUAAGCACCGGCUAACUUCGUG